CAGCUUGCUGGUCUGAUCAGUGGCGAACGGGUGAGUAACACGUGAGCAACCUGCCCUAGACUCUGGAAUAACCAUGGGAAACGAUGGCUAAUACCGGAUACGAGACACACACGCAUGUGUGGUGUCUGGAAAGAUUUAUCGGUCUGGGAUGGGCUCGCGGCCUAUCAGCUUGUUGGUGGGGUAGUGGCCUACCAAGGCGACGACGGGUAGCCGGCCUGAGAGGGCGACCGGUCACACUGGGACUGAGAUACGGCCCAGACUCCUACGGGAGGCAGCAGUGGGGAAUAUUGCACAAUGGGCGCAAGCCUGAUGCAGCGACGCCGCGUGAGGGAUGACGGCCUUCGGGUUGUAAACCCCUUUCAGCAGGGAAGAAGCGCAAGUGACGGUCCUGCAGAAGAAGCGCCGGCUAACUACGUGCCAGCAGCCGCGGUAAUACGUAGGGCGCAAGCGUUGUCCGGAAUUAUUGGGCGUAAAGAGCUCU
rnacentral:rRNA from 1 species